AACUUGGUCCAUCCAAAUGGAUGUGAACUAGGAUUCUAGACUAAAUAUUACAAGUUUUCUAUAUGUUACCUUAAUUGGUUGCAUAUAGUAGCUAGUAAGUUUACCUUGAAAAAAUUAGAGUGCUCAAUGCGGGCUUAAUGCCUGAAUACUCGUGCAUGGAAUAAUAAAAUAGGAUCUUGGUUCUAUUUUGUUGGUUUUCUGAUCUAAGAUAAUGGUUAAGAGGGACGGACGGGGGCAUUCGUAUCGCUACGUGAGAGGUGAAAUUCUUGGACCGUAGCGAGACGUACAACUGCGAAAGCAUUUGCCAAGAAUGUCUUCAUUAAUCAAGAACGAAAGUCAGAGGUUCGAAGGCGAUCAGAUACCGCCCUAGUUCUGAC
rnacentral:rRNA from 1 species